GCAUGUGAGGGUGACUGGGCCAUGACAUCUAUGACCUUAUUGAUCAUCAUGGUUGAUUUGGCUGAUAUCAAUGGCUUGGUGGGUUUCCAUUUCUUUCUUCACCAAACCACGUGAGCACCACCCCCAUAAAAGAAGCUGUGUACUGAGUAGAGGAGAAUGGCCUUCUUCAAUAACGGGGCCCAGUUUUCCAUCCAGGUGAAAAGAGUAACUGUACCACCACCCCCCACUAGAUUACACCAAUCAAGCCAUCAAGGUCCAUUUAAGUAUGUAUUUCCCCUACUAAUGUCCCCAAAUUGUGAGGUUCUAU
rnacentral:snRNA from 1 species